GAAUAAUGACUCUUCCAGAGAUGGCAUUGGUGCCUUCGGGAACUCUGAGACAGGUGCUGCAUGGCUGUCGUCAGCUCGUGUUGUGAGAUGUUGGGUUAAGUCCCGCAACGAGCGCAACCCUUAUCCUUUGUUACCAGCACGUAAUGGUGGGAACUCAAAGGAGACUGCCGGUGACAAACCGGAGGAAGGUGGGGAUGACGUCAAGUCAUCAUGGCCCUUACGGCCUGGGCUACACACGUGCUACAAUGGCAUAUACAAAGAGAAGCCAACUCGCGAGAUGGAGCUAAUCUCAUAAAGUAUGAUCGUAGUCCGGAUUGGAGUCUGCAACUCGACUGCAUGAAAGUCGGAAUCGCUAGUAAUCGUAGAAUCAGAAUGCUACGGGUGAAAUACGUUCCCGGGUCUUGUACACACCGA
rnacentral:rRNA from 1 species